rnacentral:rRNA from 1 species
UACGUAGGGUGCAAGCGUUAAUCGGAAUUACUGGGCGUAAAGCGUGCGCAGGCGGUUGUGCAAGACCGAUGUGAAAUCCCCGGGCUUAACCUGGGAAUGGCAUUGGUGACUGCACGGCUAGAGUGUGUCAGAGGGGGGUAGAAUUCCACGUGUAGCAGUGAAAUGCGUAGAGAUGUGGAGGAAUACCGAUGGCGAAGGCAGCCUCCUGGGAUAACACGUG